UACGAAGGGGGCUAGCGUUGCUCGGAAUCACUGGGCGUAAAGGGUGCGUAGGCGGGUUUUUAAUUCAGGGGUGAAAUCCUGGAGCUCAACUCCAGAACUGCCUUUGAUACUGAAGAUCUUGAGUCCGGGAGAGGUGAGUGGAACUGCGAGUGUAGAGGUGAAAUUCGUAGAUAUUCGCAAGAACACCAGUGGCGAAGGCGGCUCACUGGCCCGGUACUGACGCUGAGGCACGAAAGCGUGGGGAGCAAACAGG
rnacentral:rRNA from 1 species